ensembl:miRNA
GGCUCAAGUCAUGGCAGUAAAUUUGUGUCUAUACUCUGCCACUUUACUUUUGGCCUCAAGUCAUUGCGGUAAAGUGGCAGAGUGUAGACACAAAUUUAGGCCUUCUGACUCC